UUUGGGAAGCUGGGUGAUUUUUGUGCUCACAGCCGGCCAGAGAAGGGAGGACUGGCAUCCGCCAGACCCGUUAGCACGCUGCUGCCAGCGUUUAUUCUUUGGUCAUUGUUGUCGAAUGAUCCUGAUUUGUAAUCUCUUUUUCUGCCUGAGAUCCUCUUUUCUUUUUCAGGACUGGUUUGCAUGGCAGCCAGGCAGACGGCACCAUCACCUGUGACUGCAGCCGAAGUCGGCCUCGCUGCCCCCUGAUAAACGUGCCUGGGAAGUGACACAGGGAUUAUCAGCAGGCCCAGCAGCAAAGGUGAUUUUCAAGAGCAGGAAGGAUUGCUGUAAACUGAUCUUGAAUUGCAUCUUCAUAUUUUGUGGUGGAGCACAGAGCUGGUGGACUGGAAGACAUCAGGCUCCAACGUGGCGCAGGCUCUGGAGACAAGGAGAGAAUGUGUGUCUCCCACAGGAUCAGGCAGGAGAAGGCUGGGGAGCCAGGCACCAGCAGGGGCUCGCGGCCAGCAGGCCGCCCCCAUUCACUCAUUCUUCCCAGAAAUGGGCACAAAGUGCAGGUUCAUUCAGAUGCCUUGGCAGACGAUUCCUGGCCCCAAAGUUAUACAAACCAGUCUGUGCUGACUGACACCAAAGCUGCAUCUAUUGGAUUUGUUCUCACAGUGUAACCUGUCUGGACGGAACCAGACUUUGUUGGAGGAAUAAUUAGGGUUGACAGGAAAUUAUCCUGAGAACAACAGGGAGCUGGAAUUUAACUUUGUACACUUUUCCAGCCCUCACAUACAUCCUGAAGACAUUUAAUGAUUUUAAAUUGGGAAGAGCUGGAAAGCUUGUGUGCUGGAAGAUAUUAAAUCUAUCGUCAGCAGCAUA